rnacentral:rRNA from 1 species
GACGGAGGAUGGCAAGUGUUAUCCGGAAUCACUGGGCGUAAAGCGUCUGUAGGUGGUCAAAUAAGUCAACUGUUAAAUCUUGAGGCUCAACCUCAAAACCGCAGUCGAAACUAUUAGACUAGAGUAUAGUAGGGGUAAAGGGAAUUUCCAGUGGAGCGGUGAAAUGACGUAGAGAUUGGAAAGAACACCGAUGGCGAAGGCACUUUACUGGGCUAUGACUAACACUCAGAGACGAAAGCUAGGGUAGCAAAUGGG